UAGAGUUUGAUCCUGGCUCAGAACGUACGCUGGCGGCACGCCUAACACAUGCAAGUCGAACGAAGUAGCAAUACUUAGUGGCAGACGGGUGAGUAACAUGUAGGUAUCUACCCUUUGGCCUGGAAUAACACGAGGAAACUUGUGCUAAUACCGGAUAAGUCUUUACGGAGAAAGCUUUAUGCACCAUUGGAUGAGCCUGCACUUGAUUAGUUUGUUGGUGGGGUAAUGGCCUACCAAGACUGUGAUCAAUAGCUGAUUUGAGAGGAUGAUCAGCCACAUUGGGACUGAGACACGGCCCAAACUCCUACGGGAGGCAGCAGUGGGGAAUCUUGCACAAUGGAGGAAACUCUGAUGCAGCGAUGCCGCGUGAGUGAAGAAGGCCUUUGGGUUGUAAAGCUCUUUCGUCGGGGAAGAAAAUGACUGUACCCGAAUAAGAAGGUCCGGCUAACUUCGUGCCAGCAGCCGCGGUAAUACGAAGGGACCUAGCGUAGUUCGGAAUUACUGGGCUUAAAGAGUUCGUAGGUGGUUGAAAAAGUUGGUGGUGAAAUCCCAGAGCUUAACUCUGGAACUGCCAUCAAAACUUUUCAGCUAGAGUAUGAUAGAGGAAAGCAGAAUUUCUAGUGUAGAGGUGAAAUUCGUAGAUAUUAGAAAGAAUACCAAUUGCGAAGGCAGCUUUCUGGAUCAUUACUGACACUGAGGAACGAAAGCAUGGGUAGCGAAGAGGAUUAGAUACCCUCGUAGUCCAUGCCGUAAACGAUGUGUGUUAGACGUUGGAAAUUUAUUUUCAGUGUCGCAGCGAAAGCGAUAAACACACCGCCUGGGGAGUACGACCGCAAGGUUAAAACUCAAAUGAAUUGACGGGGACCCGCACAAGUAGUGGAGCAUGUGGUUUAAUUCGAAGAUACGCGCAGAACCUUACCAACACUUGACAUGUUCGUCGCGACUCUAAGAGAUUAGAGUUUUCGGUUCGGCCGGACGAAACACAGGUGCUGCAUGGCUGUCGUCAGCUCGUGUCGUGAGAUGUUGGGUUAAGUCCCGCAACGAGCGCAACCCUCACUUUUAGUUGCCAUCAUUAAGUUGGGCACUCUGAAAGAACUGCCAGUGAUAAGCUGGAGGAAGGUGGGGAUGACGUCAAGUCCUCAUGGCCCUUACGUGUUGGGCUACACACGUGCUACAAUGGUAUCUACAACAGGAAGCAAGACCGCGAGGUCAAGCAAAUCCUUAAAAGAUACCUCAGUUCGGAUUGCACUCUGCAACUCGAGUGCAUGAAGCUGGAAUUACUAGUAAUCGUGGAUCAGCGUGCCACGGUGAAUGCGUUCCCGGGUCUUGUACACACCGCCCGUCACACCAUGGGAGUUGGUUCUACCUUAAGGCAAGGUUUAAAACCCUUGACCACGGUAUAGUCAGCGACUGGGGUGAAGUCGUAACAAGGUAACCA
rnacentral:rRNA from 1 species